GUUUUUAGGCAGCUGCAGGUAUUGAGAAUCGGAGGGUAGGAAACGUUUUAAAGUAUGUAGCAAUGAGUGUACACAUAUCUUCAAAAUGUUGUUGUUGUUACAAUGGGAGGAUGUACAAAAUGAAAAUGUGCAAUGAAAAUGCCUGUUUUCUCAUCUAGAAUGCGCGAAUUUAUUGAUUUUUCUUUUUUGAGAAAAUUCUAGAAGCGAAAUUUUAGAUGUUAAAAUUUAUAGCUUAAUUUUUCUAAUAAAUUAAAUUGAAAAUAGCAUUUUUCAUCAGGUUUUGUGCUUUAUCUUUAUUUUUCUUUAUCACUAUAAUCUUGAUUUCUUUUCACGUUGCACGUAACUACGGAGAAAUAUGAACCCCCCUUUAAAAGCUAGAAAAUAGCCUACAAAACAUACCUACAAAGCUAUAACUACUAAUUUGAAUUAGGUUCAACAGUCAGUGACUUGGAUGCCGAACCUGUUUGCGGUGCUUUUUCAAGGCAAAUAUUUCAAAUCCAUUUGGAUCUUUUUUAUACCUACCUACAUAAAUCUCGGAUUUGCAUUUCAAAGAGGAAUCUACAUUAAGCAAAAAGAAAAUUCAUGUUAUUGUUUAAACUAUAACACAAUUUACAUAGUAUUUUAUUACUUAAAUUAUUUCAAACGCAAAACAAUGGGGACCAUGCGGCAUGCCUAUACCUAUGUAUCUACAAUAGUUCUAUAACUUAUACUUACUCAAGUAUAUUUGUUUUUAGACUUUAGCAUUAAUGUAUUAGUUACUAAAAUAGGUUUGUUGUUAUUUGGUAUCUAAUUAUAGUUGUUUGUUUAUUUGAAGAAAUUUCU